UACAGAGGUCCCGAGCGUUGUUCGGAUUCACUGGGCGUAAAGGGUGCGCAGGUGGGUUGGCAAGUUUGAUGUGAAAGCCCCGGGCUUAACCCGGGAAUGGCAUUGAAUACUGCUGAUCUGGAGGUUUGGAGGGGGGACUGGAAUUCCCGGUGUAGCGGUGAAAUGCGCAGAUAUCGGGAGGAACACCAGUAGCGAAGGCGGCUCGCUGGGCCAUUCCUGACGCUGAGACGCGAAAGCUAGGGGAGCGAACAGG
rnacentral:rRNA from 1 species